CUUCUGCACUAUCUUUACUUUCUUACAUUCUGUCCCCCCAGACUUUUCUUUCUCCUCUGCUGUAAUUUGAGCUCGUAUGAGGGAAAACUCAGAUGAGUGGAGAACCUUUUCCCAUGGUUCAGUUUUGCUGGGUUAAAUCUGUGGGAUGGACUUUACAGGAGCAAGUCUGGCAAACCCAGUGAGUGCUUACUUAGUUCCCUGUGAUCUGAGGCAUCAGGGUGUGUGCAGGAGGCAGAACACCCUUCUGCAGACCAGAGGAAGAGCAGGCAGCCCCAGCCUCUGCCUGAGGAGCCUGCUGCUCACGGGGCAGCUGCACAGAUACCAUCUGAAGCUUUCCUCUGAGGAGGUUUAGACUACAAGCCUCCUUUUCCAGAGGCAGCCCACCACCCCACAGGAGCCUCCCUGGCCCAGUGCAAAGCUGUCUUAAUGGGAGCUGGAGUGCACAUUUGGAGAAAGUACCUGUUUGUGGAACCAAGAUUUUAAACAAGGGUGGCAAUUAAUGCAGAGCUGGAGUUUGUGUAUGCUAGAUAUGUUUCCACUGGGAAAUGAACUGAGUGAGAAAUUAUUAAUUUCACAUGGCCCACCUGAUGCUCAACACCAAGUUUCUUUUUUCUGUCGGUUGCACAAAAUUUAUACAUUUUAAUGCGGUACACUCUUCAAGAAAUCAGCAAAGAAUAUUCCAUCCAAGUUGUACAUUUUGCAUCCUGUCACAUCCAACGAAGGACUCUGAAACUUUGCAGCUUAAUAUUCAAGAGUUUCCUUAUGAAACACCAGUAAGUACUACAGAUGAUGUCAAGAGCCCAAGCUACAAUGGAGCACGUCUGACUCACUUCACUGAAAUACUGCUUUUGAUUUAACCUCUCUAGUAUCUGCUGUGUCCUGAAUUCAAGAAUAAAUGGACAGAACUGUCCCUGGGAGGGAAGAACUCAGAGGUACCUUCCAGGUACCCCACCAGCAGUGGGAUACAGCAGAUUACUUCAAAUUGGAUUAAUUCUGGCACCUGAAUGUCACUGCCCAUAUGGUAGUCUGGUGUUUCAGCUCCUCUUACAGGCAGUGAAGUCAGCUGGAGCCUGCCAAACUCUUCAGCUCAUACCCAGACUCAGUUCAGCUGCCCAGAUGUGGGUGCCUAGCACUGUGCAAGGGCCCCUGGACAUUCUGUCUGGACCAAAGACGUGGGAUCAUUCUCUUGGCCCUGGGCUAUGCCUGAGAGUUAACCGGGGGAAUUUCAAACACUCUAGGUCACCUCAAACAGCACUGGACACCUACCUAUGUGUGGUGAGCUGAAUCAGCCCCCUGUGCCUGAAUAACCAGCUGGAUCACCCUCCCAUGGAUCCAUUACCUGUGGCUCAGCUUGGUGCCCACUCACAGUGUGCAGGGGUGCUUGUGGAGCCAGGGUCUGGCAAGCAGGACAGGGGUAUGUGCCCUUCAGAAACAAAAACUGCAUGGCAGGGCAGAUCUGUGACUCUUGAUUGAUGCAGCUGAGGGCAUCUGCCUCCUCCCCUGCAUCUCCCCAGAGGCACCAGGGACACCUGUAAGCUGUGAUAAAGCACUCCCACUUCAAUGUCCAAACCUGAAGGUGAAUCUCUCCCUAUCCAUCAGCUAAGAAACCAAACCUUUGUUGCAGGGAUCAUUUUAACUGCAUCCUAGAUCAGGGCUGGGAAAGUUGAGAACAUGAGUAUGGGCAGCUACUAGGUAUGUCCUCAUCUGUCAAGUGGCAUUUUAGGGCAGUGUUUUCCUGUCAUCCUGUGAACUUCAGCUCAGUCUAGAGUGUCUCUGAAGUCUCUACAGGCCAUGCUCACACAAAAACAAUGGACUAGUUAUUAAACAGCUUUCAACCCUUAAAUUUGUAAUUUCAAAAUCAUAGAGGAGACAGAAAAUUGCUUAAUGCUAAGCAGGGACUCCAGUUUGGUAGGUAUGACUUUAAAACAAGCACAGGCAAAGAAGAAAGGAGAAGUAUGCCAGCUUAGUACUGACAUAUACAUUCUCAUAUUUUAAACAAAAAAAAUUACAAAGGAAUAAAAUAAAGUAUUAAUAGUAAACAAAAAUAAACUUCACAGAGUAAUUGGAGUCUGAUAACUUCCCAAGAACCUGAACAUUUUAAUAGCUCUCAUUACACAGUCUCUGAAGAAUCCAUGAUAAAUUCAUUUUUACUAACCCCUCCUUUAAUGGAAAAGAAAUGUUAAAGAAUCAAGAGCAUUUAAGACCUCAUAACAGCUUUCUGACAAGACUGUUUUAAUGUCAACAAUUUUAUCGUGAGUGAGAGCUAUAUAAAAAUGAUGAUAGAAUCCACUGUUUCUUUUUUUAAAAAUGAUUGUUUAAAAUACCAGCUUCAUUAAAACAGCUGCAGAUAUCCUGUAAGAUUCAUACUGAAAUUACUCCCAGGCCAAUUUCUCAUUUGAAUCUCCCAAACUGACACUUUUCCAAAGAGACUGCAAAGUCUGCGUGAUAUUUGUUCAUUUUUAA